UUAGCCGGUCUCUCCUUUCUAAACAGCAUUUAAGUGGCAUGCGCGGCUCUUGGUACAAAAACCUUGGCCCGUGCUCUCACAAUGAAGUUACUAAAAGAAAAGAAGGGGGAGAAAUACACCACAUGAUGAAGAAAGACAUCCGGAGGCAAGACUGAGCAAGAAGGCUUUGUCAGGAGUCCAGAAACCUACCUCCUCUUUGGCUCCAUGGUUUGUUUCCAGUCACUGUAGGAUUCGGGGGGGGAAAUAAAUUGAGCGAGCAGUUCAACAGUGGGAAGGAAUGGCCCUUUGCAUGACAUAACUUGGCAGAGAUGAAAGAUGAACACACCUUCCCAGCCAGGACAAAAACCUGCUUGCUUUCCUUGAAAGAAGACAGAGAGGGAGAUAAUGAAACCCAGUCUCAAAAAGCAACAUGAACCUGGGAAAGCAGAUCGUAGAGGACAUCAAGUUAGUGAACUCUUCUGCAAUCAAAAUCUAUGAAUAGAUCAAUCUACAAUGGUGUAAAAAAAUGCCCUAUCUUUAAAGUAAACAUCGUGAUCCUCAGAA